GGGAAACGUUCAGUCUGCCUGGGUUAUAUAUAGGUAGAUUCAUUGAUUUCGGAUCAGAAAAUUAUCAAUGUUCAUGGAUUCCCAGAACACAGCAGGGAGAAGUUUAUGUUAUGAACAUUUCUUAGCAACAAACCCUGUAAGAAGAAGGACGUCUGUUCUACAGCUUGUGGUGGAUUAUAGAACACAUGAUAUCAACCAAGUUUAAAGGAAGCAUGUAUAGCCACAUUAGAAAGAUUUAAGGAUUGUGAGAAACCAAAUAUGA